rnacentral:lncRNA from 1 species
GGCCGAGUUUCAAGGUCAUGAUCGGGCCAUAGGAUUUGGCGAGAUUGGCUAGGGAUUGGUGGGGUUUAUCGCCGAGAGCAAGAAGGUUGCCGAUGAGUGGCAAUGGCUUUGGGCCGGGAGGGAGGUUGGUAAUUGGUCUUGUUUUUGAGAUCAUUGAAAUUAGCCAUGCAAUGGAAAGUAGAACAAUGAAGAUCCCCAACAAAUCCAUCUCUUACUACUCUUAUGAAUGGAAAUGAAGCAAUGUAAGCUUCAACUUUUGAUUAUAUAUGUAGGGAAAUUCUUUUUAACUUUUUAACAGGUAGAAUAAGUUUUGGAUUAGACAAAAUCACUUUUAUUUUCUUGUCAAAAUUUUUUUUUUUUUUUAAAGGAUACAUGUUUGACUUGUAAACGAUGCAUAAUUGUUAUUCACAUGGCUCCCAAAAUGGUUAUAAGUGACAAGUAUGGAAGGGUAUUUUUUUAUUAAAUUUAGGAGAAUAAAUACGUAAUAUAAACCGUAGGCAGGUAGAAGUUGUAGGAUUGAGAUGAUUUGUGUAUAAUCCUCCUCAAGGUAAUCUCAAUAUAACUUAAGUGAAAAUAUGCAAUACCUGUCUACAAAGUAGGAGGAUAAAGAAAUGUAUAUGAAUAUUAGAAAGUAAAAUGAUUUUCUCUUCCAUUGAUAUCUGAAUAUGAUGGAAAUUUGCCACCAUAAUUGUAUCUACUUUUUGAAACUUACUUACUUUAGUCACACAUGGAAAUAAAAUAAUAUAUAAUCUAAAAAGAAAAAAAAAAAGUGGAACCAUAACAAAAUAGCUACUCCUAUUUCUAAAACAAUAAAUACAACUUAAAAUGCAUUUAAAAUUGUGUGGAACGGAGAAAGGUCGAGAAGAAAAUUGUGGUUCAACCAUAAAAUGAAAUUAAAUGAUCUGACAAAAAUAUUUAUUAUCUUCUCUUUUGUCAUUUCAUUUUAUAUUUGUUACACAUUGAAUUUUCAACAACCAUAAUUGAAGUUACAUUGUAGAUUUCGAUUCAAUAAAUUAGUGAGAUGUAUAAAUAAUUUCUUUACCGGGUAGAUUUUAACCGUUGGAGCAAGUACGAUUAAUCGAAGAAUCGUGGCGGUUGCCAAGCUUGGAAGUGGGAAAGAAUAUGAAGGCGCAUCUCUUUACCAACCAAAUUACUUUCCUAAUUAAAGUUGUGUUAUAUUUUCAAAUUAUUUUAAUUCCGGUUCUACUAUUUGCUAUAGUUUUCCUAAUUACUUUUGUGCAUGAUGUAAACAGACCCUAGAAUAUGGCCCCUAGAUAAGUUUAUCAUAUAGUCUUUUGAGUGAAGCAUAUAUAUUUAUUUUUGAGAAUCAACAUUCAUAAAAGAAAACAUAAAACUAGUUUUUACUCAUGAAAAGGAAGGUAAAACUAGACAAGAAGUGGGAAAGCUCUCAAAGGAGAAGCCAUUGCAAGAGUGAUUCCAUACUUUUCAUCCAUAUUCAAAUCAUCAGGUCGACAACCAUCUUCAAGCUUCCAAUCAAAGAAAUGAAGAAGCGAACCCAACAUCAAAGGCAACAUUCUCAUAGCCAAUGGCAAUCCAGGGCAAAUCCUUCUUCCACCACCAAAUGGAACCAACUCAAAAUCUCUGCCUUUAAUGUCAAUGUCCAUCUCUAAGAAUCUCUCUGGCUCGAAUAUUUCAGGAUUUUUCCAUACGUUCGAAUCUCGACUCAUCGCCCAUAAAUUUACCAGCACUUGAGCGUCUUUAGGGAUUGUGAAACUUGAUAUUUCGACGUCUUGUAAUGCUUUACGAGGUAGUAGAAAAGGAGGGGAAUGAUAUCUUAAAGUUUCUUUAAUCACUGCUUGUAAAUAAGGUAGCCUUGAAAUGUCUGAUUCUUUAAUUGGGUUUCCUUUCCCUAUUACACUUCGGAUUUCUUGUUGAGCUUUUGAUAGUUUUUGUGGGUUUCUUAAUAGUUCUGCCAUUGCCCAUUGGAAAACUGAAGAAACUGUGUCGGUUCCAGCAAUGAAUAAUACCUAUAGAACAACAAUCAAAUCUUUAAUAAAAAAAAUGCUCUUACUAAAAUUUUGAUUGGUGGAAUUCAGAAAUAAAUCUACUAGAAACUUAGGAAAUAAUACAAAUUAAUGUGUAUGAAAUACAUAACAUUAUUGCUAGGAUUAUAGAAAAAUACAAGAUGAAUCCGUGGUUAUUCAUAUUCCCCUUCUAGUAUCAUAAUAAACACGAAAAACUUGAAUAUUUUUAAAAGAGAAGAAUUUUUCACUUCAAACGUCUAUGAUUAGACAAAUUCUGUGGGAUGAGAGAAAUGAAGUUGUAAAUUGGGAUGUAUUAUGUAUACAAAAGUACAUUUAAAAAGAAAACAAAAAAGAACAAAAUCAUAGAAAGAAAAGGAAAUAAAAUCAGAUUUUUUGUUUUAUUUUUUCUUGGGAUAAGCCAAGUCCAACCACAUACAGAAAAGGAAAAGAAAAUGGAAAGGCCAAUAAUUGAUCAGUGGGGCACUCAUUUCAACUCAACUAUCCAAGAAAAGAAAAAAAAUAGAAGAAAUAUUAUUUGUCGCGUGAAAAGUAAAUAUGUUGUUGAAGGCUGAAAGCUAAGAUAAUAGAUGCCAUUCAAUAUCAACCAUAUAUCUUUCCUAAUUUGAAAAGUUGUCUAAUCAAAAAUUGUCACACUCAAAUAAAUUUUUAAAAAACAAAUUUUCGAAAAUAGAAAAAAUUAUGAAAAGUAAAUAAGUAUAAUAAGUUUUGUUUUCAUGGUUUUUCUUUACCUAAAGUGUAAAUAACUUGUUUUCUUUUUCUAUUUUGGAAAAAGCCAUUUUAUGGUUGGUAAUUGAAAAGAAAUGGAUGUAUUUAGAUUUCCAUGUUUAUGGUUGGUAAUUGAAAAGAAAAGAGAAAGUUAAAAGAAUUUAUUAAGAUAGAAUUUUUAUCAUCCAAUGUGUUAUUCAUAAUUUACUUUGAAAACCUACGAAAUUCUCCAAAAUCUGUCUAUUUUGGUCCAGAAAGUUAUUAACUAAAAAUAGUAUUUAUUUUUUCUUUUUAGAUUUUAAAAUGAUUAAUAUCAAUGAAAUGAAUUAUGUGUGAGAUUUGAGAUUUGGAUUGAAUGCGCUUUUUGUUUAAGACGAAAUAUUAAGAAAAAAGUUUAACACAUAGCAAACAAUUGUGCCUAAAGAGACUACAUUGGGGGCAAAACUAUUUUCUAAACCCAAUUAGUGGAGUAAAAAUUGGAGUCAUAGCGUAUAAGACCAUAAAUUAUUCUUACAUUUUCUAUUUUAAAAUAUUUUAAUUUAUAGUAAUUUAUCAGAAAAAAGUUUACUAUAUUGAUAAAUAUUCAAUAUAUUAGUUUAUUUUGAUAAGAGACGUUUGAUUCUUAAAAAAAAAAACUCCAUCUAGGUUAUAAAUCAACAAAUUCAAACCCUAAUAAAAUCAAGUUAAACAGAAGAAUAAGUGUUUGAACUCAAAUUCCCCUAAAGAUAAAAUGAUGUUAAAAUUUGGAUUCUUAACAACAAAUUGUAAGUAAUAAUAAUAAAAGAAAAAGGAGUUGAAGUAGAUACCGCUAAUAAGUGUUCGAACUCAAUUCUCCCCAACUUGAUAUCGCUGUUUUCAUCACCAGGGUUGAGAAGAUAAUGCAAGAAAUCAUGUUUAAUCUUAUUAGAACCCCAACUUUUUUUCUGUUCAUCAAUCCGUUCAUCAAUCAUCUGCUCCAACACAUCAAAGAUCCUAUCAAAAUGAACACUUUGUUUCUUCUUAAUCCCCUGCACAUCAAAUCUCUUCAACAAUGGAAAAUAAUCUCCAAAAUUCGGUUUCGCAGCUUCUUCCAUAGCCCCUCUUACAGCCACCUUAAACUCUCUCCCAAUUUUCGAAUUCGGGUCCACAAAAUCCUCCGAGAAAAUGGUAUUCCAAAGCAAAUUCAUCGAAGUCACAAACGCCACUUUUCCAAAAUCCACUGCCUCAUCACCUUUCAAAGCACAUCUAGAUAUCUCUGUCACCAGCUCUGCCACUUGGCCUCGUCUGAGGUUCUCGUUGGCGUCGAGAAUCCGGGCAGCGAACAACUGGGUGUUGCAAAUUCGUCUGAGGUUUCGCCAGAGAGGUGAAACGGGCAUCCAUGGGAGGCCGAAAAGAUCGUGGUUGUGAGUGGUCAUGGAGUCAGGGACGGUUCUGGAGGAAAGAAAUUGGUCGUGAGUUUGGAGGACUUGUUUGGCCAUGGCGGAGGAGGAGAUGACGACGGUGGUGAUUUGGCCGAGUUUUAAGGUCAUGAUCGGACCAUAGGAUUUGGCGAGAUUGGCUAGAGAUUGGUGGGGUUUAUCACCGAGAGCAAGAAGGUUGCCGAUGAGUGGCAAUGGCUUUGGGCCGGGAGGGAGGUUGGUAAUUGGUCUUGUUUUUGAGAUCAUUGAAAUUAGCCAUGCAAUGGAGAGUAGAACAAUGAAGAUCCACAGCAAAUCCAUCUCUUACUAAUUUGU